rnacentral:rRNA from 1 species
GAUGAACGCUGGCGGCGUGCCUAAUACAUGCAGGUCGAGCGAACGGACGAGAAGCUUGCUUCUCUGAUGUUAGCGGCGGACGGGUGAGUAACACGUGGAUAACCUACCUAUAAGACUGGGAUAACUUCGGGAAACCGGAGCUAAUACCGGAUAAUAUUUUGAACCGCAUGGUUCAAAAGUGAAAGACGGUCUUGCUGUCACUUAUAGAUGGAUCCGCGCUGCAUUAGCUAGUUGGUAAGGUAACGGCUUACCAAGGCAACGAUGCAUAGCCGACCUGAGAGGGUGAUCGGCCACACUGGAACUGAGACACGGUCCAGACUCCUACGGGAGGCAGCAGUAGGGAAUCUUCCGCAAUGGGCGAAAGCCUAACGGAGCAACGCCGCGUGAGUGAUGAAGGUCUUCGGAUCGUAAAACUCUGUUAUUAGGGAAGAACAUAUGUGUAAGUAACUGUGCACAUCUUGACGGUACCUAAUCAGAAAGCCACGGCUAACUACGUG